rnacentral:rRNA from 1 species
CGGGCCGUCAGUGGCGAACGGCUGAGGAACACGUACGAAUCUGCCCUCCGGUGGGGAAUAACGCACCGAAAGGUGUGCUAAUACCGCGUACGCGCGCAAGCGGAAAGCCGCAAGGCGCCGGGGGGGAGCGUGCGGCCCAUCAGAUAGUUGGCGGGGUAAUGGCCCACCAAGUCGGUGACGGGUCGUUGGUCUGUGAGGACGAUCAGCCAGACUGGGACUGCGACACGGCCCAG